rnacentral:rRNA from 1 species
GGACUACCAGGGUUUCUAAUCCUGUUCGCUCCCCACGCUUUCGCUCCUCAGCGUCAGUUCCGGCCCAGCCCACCGCCUUCGCCACCGGUGUUCCUCCUGAUAUCUGCGCAUUUCACCGCUACACCAGGAAUUCCGUGGACCCCUACCGGACUCUAGUCAUGGCAGUAUCGAGUGGCAUCUCCAGGUUGAGCCUGGAGGUUUCACACCCGACUUACCAAACCGCCUACGAGCUCUUUACGCCCAAUAAUUCCGGACAACGCUCGCCCCCUACGUAUUACCGCGGCUGCUGGCAC